rnacentral:lncRNA from 1 species
UAUAGAUCAACAUAAAAACAGGUUAAAUUGGUGCCACAAUUAAAGUAGAGUUCUUCAAAAUUUUCCAUUACAAUCGGUACCGAAACUACACAGACAAAGCUGAAUUACAAGAAACUGGGGCCAAAAUCUUUUAAUAUCACCAUAACAACACGAAUGGUGAACAAGCAACGAUCAAUUUGGAGAAAUUACCUGAGAUUUGGAGUUGGGUUCGGAUUGGAAUCGUUUGGGAGUGGCUGUGCUAAGAAGAUGUAAGGGUUCGGAUUGGAAUCCUCAGAGAUUGACCGGAAGAGAGUUGGCGCCACAGGAAAGAUGAGAGAGGGAAUGCUCAGAAUAACGAUCCAGUCUUUUU